UAGAAUUUUAUUAAUGCCACUUAUAUAACAUAAAUAAUUAAUAUAUAUAUAUAUAUAUAUGUACAUUUCGAAAAAGGAGGAAGAAUAUAAUAAUUAUACGCAUUUUCAUUAAUUUGCAAUUAAAUAACGAAAUAUAUAAAUAUCAAGUGGCGAUAAAAUAUUCGAAAGCAAACAGCCAGGAGCUAAAUAGUUUUAUCUUCGUACUGCAUUUUAUUAACGUUUCCUUUCGAAGCUACGUGUCGUGGAUAAACGCGAUAACGCUUUGUUCCUUUAAAAAAAAUGAAUAUGCAAAACGUGAAUUCAUCUUGGUAUCGAUGUUUCCGACAAUAUAUAAAAAAAAAAAAGAUACAAACGGACACACACACACAAAUUUCAGUCCACGUUUUACGAUAUCUGUCGUAAGUGGAGCAACCACUAGCUAUUUCCUGUUUCUAACGAAGAUACACACCAGAGUAGCACGCUCGUUAAGAGUAACAAGUAAAAAUUCCGCAAUAAUGCUUGGAAACGAGAAUAUCUCUACAAAUUCUACUUCUGUAUCCGAUUAAUAAGAGACAAGAGGGUUGAACCGCUAUGGAACGGACUGCAGACCAGAGUAUCGUCUUAUAAGCCAGGCAGAAUGGUACACUUGAAAAAACUUCCUCGACGAUCGAGAGGGAUCGGUACACGAGAAGUCUCCUCGCCUCUUGAACGGUGCAUCUUGGCGUGCAACGAGUGCAAGGCGACUUCCGCUCGGCCUCCGCAAAUAUUGACACCGUCGAUAUGCAGGUCCACACACGUGAGCUCCCUUCUGACCGCGUGUCUCUCCUCACAACUGAUUCGAGCGGCUUCUCGGAUAUUAAUGUGGGAAAACACGAUUUCCACUCGCUGAAUGCCGAGUUGCGUUCGCCACUCGACUCGGUUGUUGCAGGAUGUUGUUUAUUAAAGAUCGAAAGCUAUAUCUUUCGAAAAGGAACUCGAGAGAGUAUUUACAUUGCCUCGUCAAAUCCUUUGACCGAGGGAACGAAAACCAUAGGAUCGAAAUAAAAUUGAUAUUUUUCGUGAUAAAGAUCGUUCAUCAUGCUUGCUCAUCGUCUCGAUUGUCAGGCAUCCUCCUUUUCCACGAAUUGGCGCGUUUUAAAUAUUCAAUAUUAUUACUCAGAAUAAAUUGACAAUAACAAAUCCGUUGUUAGAUUGCACGGAAAUCCAGUGUACAAUUCGAUUCGAUUACGUUCCAGGAUCAUAAAGCAAGAUCAAAGAUCGAUCGAGUGGGGCGUAACGAAUUCCCUUAUUACGACAACCUUCCGCUUCUCAGAAUCGCGCUCGCGGAUUGAAUUGAAAAACUUCCACGAAUUUCCAUACCCUCCGAGAUACACCAUCGAGAUACGAAGAUAAAAUACAACGAUUUCCACGUUCCGAGUCAGGAUUAAUUCGUAUUUGCCGCCAAAUUUCUAUCGUAAAAGUUCACACACAAAGAGGCACGACGAACAAUAUUCCAACAACAAUCGAAUAUCGCGAAUCGACAUCCAAAUUCCGUUCCACGAGUUGCACGAGUUCCAUCGCGUGUUUCGAAGUUAACUGGAGCCGAAUUUCCACACAAACUGUUGUAUCACUGGUUGAAAGACGUGUCACGCCAAGGAAGGGGUGAGAUUCUCGAGGGCAGAUAUUAACGCGUUCCUCCACCUUAGCCUUUCUCUCUCACCUUCGAUCGGUUUUAUCGCGUUUAACGCGCGAAAAAAAGGAAGGUCGAAGGAAGAGGCGAUCGAAAUGGGAAAAGGGAGAGGUUACAAGGGAGAGGUGGGCGGGGGUCAAAGGGAAAUGGGGUCGCGGACGAAACGUAACGCGAGAGCGGAUCGUGGAAUGCGUCGUAACGCGCGUGUUUCGAGCGAAUAAGAAGGCUAUUCGCUCUUACCACCUCGCCUGUUUUCCGACUCGCGCACAAACGCGCCUCUUAACCCGAGAGAAAUCUGAAAGCGGGGAGGGAGAGGCGAUUACGAAUGCAAUCCGCGUCGCGUGCACCACCACGAUUCCUCCUCCCUUCGAUCGAUGGAAGAGAAUACUCUACACUUCCCUCCACUUUUUCUCCGCUUCCUCUCCGCGGGAUUUUCUCAUUUCGCGGGAAAUUCGAUCGAGAGGAGUCUCUCCCUCCUGUCACGCGAUCCGGCUUAAUUUUCUUUGCGUGGAAAGAGACGUUGGAUAAGAUGAGACUCGAUGAAUUUAUGAGAAAUUAGAUAAGGAUAGUAGGAAACAAUUAUACUUUUUUUUUGUUUUUAAUGUUUAAAACAUAGGGUUUCGUUUAUCAUCGAAAUUAUAUUUGGAAUAAUUAAAUCUACGGAAUGUGAAAAUAAAUUAUUCAGAAAUUUA